AACGAUCUUCUCCGUCUUUGC
rnacentral:miRNA from 1 species